UACGUAGGGGGCAAGCGUUGCCCGGAAUUAUUGGGCGUAAAGAGCGCGUAGGCGGUCCGAUAAGUCGGCUGUGAAAGUCAGGGGCUCAACCCUUGAAAGCCGGCCGAUACUGUCGGACUAGAGUCCGGAAGAGGCAAGUGGAAUUCCCGGUGUAGCGGUGAAAUGCGCAGAUAUCGGGAGGAACACCAAUGGCGAAGGCAGCUUGCUGGGACGGUACUGACGCUGAGGCGCGAAAGCGUGGGGAGCAAACAGG
rnacentral:rRNA from 1 species